AAACGACUCUCGGCAACGGAUAUCUCGGCUCUUGCAUCGAUGAAGAACGUAGCGAAAUGCGAUCCUUGGUGUGAAUUGCAGAAUCCCGUGAACCAUCGAGUCUUUGAACGCAAGUUGCGCCUGAAGCCAUUAGGCCGAGGGCACGCCUGCCUGGGUGUCACA
rnacentral:rRNA from 1 species